GGCCUUGUAUUUGGGCCUCACACUAAAGCCCAUACUUUGUAAAAGAGGAGGAGCCCCUUAUUCUAUAAAAGGGGACUCCUCCCCUCAUUCUAGGGGAGGCAAAAGAGCCAAGCCUAAGAAGGCUAAGAGAAGCUCUCAUUACAUUCAGGAGAGACCUCACACCACCGAGGCUCUCCUCUCCCUUCUCUUCUUUCUCUGGGGGACUUCCCCAAACACUUGUAUCCAUACACUUACAGAGAAACAGAAUCAACUACAGUGUGGGCGUAGCCCAAACAUUGGGGUGAACCACGAUAAAAUCCUUGUGUUCUUUGUGUCAUUUACAUUUCAUGCAGAUUCACGGUCGGAUUUACGUUGUUCCAAGACCAUCCGGUUUUGUGCAUCAACAUUUGGCGCCGUCUGUGGGAAUCGAUACAAAAAACUAUGUCGGUUCUCUUUCAUUUUUUCAUCAAAUUUCACCACUGUGAAUCUGCAAAAUCUGCAAAAACCUAUCAACAGAAAAGAUCCAAAUUCCAACACCUGUGCUCUUCCAUCCCUCUCUGUUCUUGUAAAAGCAACAUCCAAAUUACAAAAAAACAACAUCCAAAAGCUCCUGGAAAAACACCUCCACUUCCCCCUUAACCUUCACACGUGUCCAAAAGCUCCUGGAGAAAGAUUAGGGGAAGUAACAGGCUUUUUCCGAGCUCUUCAAUGGCUGUCGACGAGAACGUGGAGAGCCGCGGCAACCAAGCGGUGCUGUCAUCGCAGGCACAGCCAUGCAGAUUCAGGCAGAAGCUGGAGAUCCACAACGAGGUACUCCGACGAAUCCAAGCGUCCGCUUCGUUGACCCAAAACAAACCGAGUCUGCUUCGUUCCCAUCGCCGGAACCCGCGAUUCAUUGCGGCCAGUCGUCGACCUCAGUUCAAGCUCUCUGUUAACCGGGUCGAUCUCAUUGGAGCUCGGGAAGCUCACCGGUCUUGAAGUGUUGAGAGCAGGAGGGAACCAGUCCUAGCGCAUGGAAGCAGCUGCCCCAAAGUCUUCUCCGCCGGAGUCUGCCAUCUCCAUCAAGAUCUCCGUCAAGUCUGCCAUCUUCUCAGAUUCUGUUGCAGGAACCCGCGAUCUCCACUCUCUCUGCUCAUCCUGCUCGCCUGAAUUUUUUCCGGUGACUGCGACGGCGACGCCAAGUCGUCUUCGUCGUCGGAUUGUUCCGCCUACAUAUCCAGCACAGAAAUGGAGGACUUGUCGUCCUCGAACGGUGUGGAGAGCAACGGCGCUGGACCGGCGGCGAGGAGGGAGAUCUGUUGACAAAAAUGGAUACUUGUUGACGAAGGAGACGGAGAUCUGUUGCUGCAGCAGAUCAAUCGAGAGGAGCUGAAAGCCACCGGAGCUGAGCCUUUGACCGACGGGCGACACGUCCUUUGCAUCCAUGGCUGGGAAGUCAAGUCCCGCCCAACAGCUGCCACCAGCGCCAUCCAUGCCACCUACCCCCGUCAGAUUUAAAGCAGCAAGCCGACCCGAGUGGAGGAGAACCGGGUCCCAGCAGCAGCGAUUCUCAAUCGUAACUUUGCUAAAUUGAUCGCCCAGGUUGGUUCCUCCCUGUGUGAGUCACCUGAACGUAUCAACCUGUUGAAGUCAGAUUUUGUUGCAGCAUCUGAUAAAAAUGCCGAGCUGGAGAAGCAGACUCACGAGUUGUAGAUGGGCGAAAUAGGAGGAAGACAGAGAGAUAGAUUUCUAAGGUUUUCGUCCGAUGAAGUGGAGGCCACCUCGCUGUCAACCCCAACACCACCUCGCAGGAGAUCGCCAGUUGGAUGACGUCGGACGACAUUCCUCUACGCCGGGGUCGUGAUGUCUCUACACCAGUCUUCGCCGGGAUUUUGUCCGGCCUCACCUUGGGUUUGAUGUCACUUAACCUCGCCGAGAAGAGGGAGAGUUGAUCCCUGAUAUUUCUGAGCUUGAAGGUGGUGAUGUGAUGGGCAGUCCCAGAAAAGAGAAAGGCAGUGGCGGACAAAGCAAAAGGAAAAGAGAAAGAAAAGGGAAAGUAAAAGCAAAAGCAAGUCAGUGUGUCUGGAAGUGGAGAGAUCAAAGAGGGAACAGAAAAGAAAAAAGAUCAUGUCGUUGGGAGAAUAUUUCAGAAAGCAGAAAAGAGGAAAGCAAAAAGGAUGCACAUGGAGACACUGCCAAAACAAGGAAUAAAUACCCCACCCGAAUGAUGUAAUUUAUUUUUAUUAUCUUUCGGAGACAUCUGUAUAAACCCCAUCAGAGGGUAAUAUAUAUAAACCCCAUCAGAGGGUCAAAAAAAAAAAAGAAAAAAAAAAGGGAAAAGCCCAAAACAAAUGGGCUGACAUGUUGUGGAGGGCAAAGGCCCAUAGGCCUGAAAUAGCACCAACCAGGUCAUCAAAAGUACGCCUAGUACUCCAAAAUUAUACAUGAGCACUACUCAUGUCAUUCAUACAUAAACAUUCAUGAGCAUCACUCAUGACAAUCAUACAUAAACAUUCAUGACCAUCAUUCAUGUCAACAUUCAUGAGCAUCACUCAUGUUAACAUUCAUGAGCAUCACUCAUGACAACAUCCAUGAGCAUCACUCAUGUCAAUCAACAUAAACAUUCAUGAGCAUCACUCAUGUCAAUCAGCUUCAAAAGCUUCAUUUACAAAAGCUCCAGCUUCGAAAGCUUCAUUUACAGAGCUCUAGCUUCAAAGCUUCACCUGCAAAGCUUCACCUACAAAGCUUCAGUGCAGGGUAUACAAGUACCGCCUUCGAACAACCGCCACUUCGGCCCAUACAUGAAUUCAAUUUGAAGUCUCCAGCCAACAGACUCUAUUGACUAAAGACUUGGGGACUACAUUAUGUACCAUAUAUUGGGCCUCAACUGGGCCUCAUGAAAAAUACUUGGGGGACUUAGCCCAUCACUUAUGUAUUGAGAAGCGAGCCCUUAUUUUAUAAAAGGGACUCCCUCACCACCAUUAGAGAGUAUCGCCGCCAGCUGAGCAACCACCUCGCCACGAGCAUCACUCCUAAAUUUAUGUAUCGAGGAGCGAUCCCUUAUUUUAUAAAAGGGACUCCCUCACCUUCAAACGCCACAAGCCAAGCCAACCAAGGCAACAUAAGCUACAAGCAAAGCGGCCUCACAACAUGUGCUACUUCUAGUUGAGCAUCAUUCCAGAUUGGGCACCGCCUCAUAUCGAGCAUCAGUUCUAGACGACAUUUAGUUACUUCGGCCCACACAUGGACUGAAUUUCAAGUCUCCAGCCAAAAGACUCUCUUGACUGAAUACUUGGGGGACUACUGUUUAUACCAUAUUUAGGGCCUCGUAUAUUUGGGCCUUGGGCCUUGUAUUUGGGCCUCACACUAAAGCCCAUACUUUGUAAAAGAGGAGGAGCCCCUUAUUCUAUAAAAGGGGACUCCUCCCCUCAUUCUAGGGGAGGCAAAAGAGCCAAGCCUAAGAAGGCUAAGAGAAGCUCUCAUUACAUUCAGGAGAGACCUCACACCACCGAGGCUCUCCUCUCCCUUCUCUUCUUUCUCUGGGGGACUUCCCCAAACACUUG
rnacentral:lncRNA from 1 species